CCCUUCAGGAGCUACUUAGGUUGGCCCUGCCUUUGCAAGGAAGAGCUACUCCUGGCUGGCGCUGAGAACACAGCGCCAGCCUUUGUUUAGCUCCUGAAGAGGCCGUGUGGCCCCCACUCGGGAGCUAAACUAGCCUCCCCAUGUCUGACGUCAUACACGGGGGGCGUGUCGACGUCCCUCUCACGGCCCGAUUGGUCGGCGGCCCAGGUUCUUUGAACCCAUUGGCCCAAUAGUGGCUCUGCCCCUGCUACAGUCAGUUUCAAGCAACAUCCAUGGAUUCUGUUGCAGUCAGGCAAGCUAGCUCUGAUUUUGUGAAUGCCAUCAGUUUAAUCAGAGGCACAAUUGCAACACUUGUCAAGGGAAAUUUGUUCCCAGCACAUCAAACUUUCCUCAGUGGGCACUUGGUGAAGCCAUAGAAGCUCACCCAAUGCUGGAUAAAUACAGACUGAAAAUGGAACUUACAGUAUUGUACAGAAGACAAGAAUUCUACUCUUCCAGGACUGUAUCCACACUGCUGUGUAUGCUCUCGGAGAGCAAUCUUGAAACAAGAUAAACUGUCAAGCAGCUGCAAAUCCCGAUCACCACGCCAAUGACAACAGCAGAAGCUGAGCAGACAUUCUCGGUAUGGAAGAGAAUUAAGACUUGCCUGCACAACACCAUGAAGGAAGAAAGACUGAAUGCAAUGGCUAUCUAUAGAGAAAUGGAUGAUAGCAGAAAUCCCAUACUUCAACCAUCGGACCACUGAAGUGUUUGCCAGACAAAAAGACUGCCGUGCAAACUUCCUCUACAAGACAUAAGAGGUGGCAAGCAACUCCUUGGGAAGCAGAAGGAGGGAGUCUUCAGAAGAGAAAGCGGAAGACUGGGAAGACUCUGGUACAGAUCCAGCAGGCCUUUUGGGCAACACAGGAAAAGUCUCUUCUGAUGGGCCAUGAGAAAGCGGGAGUCUUCAGAAGCCAAGGGAAGACUCCAGUCAAGAUGCAGCACUCACUUUGGGGCCAUUCAGGAAAAGCCUCUCCUGACAGGACAAGAGGCGGAGGCCACACAUCACACACUUCUCCUUGCUGGAACAAGAGCAGAACUUCAGGAACCACAAAUGCCCACUGGAGAGCAUCAGCAACAGAAGAGAGUCCACCCAGCAGUAAAGUUGCAGGGCCUCUGCUGAGAGGACCUCAGGGGUGUCUAGAAAAUGCCUGGAAAGAGAACAGGGCUGGCUGAGGCAGAAGGUGGAGCCGUCCUGGAAGAACCUUUGCAGGCAAGAGAUGAUCAUUUGAACCAGAGCCCACCAAGGUCUAGCCUCAGAAUCUGUUUUCAUUUGUCAGAAUUUAUCCCCAGAACCUGUGUUGAGAGCACCUUUAAGGAUGUUCCUUUGAGUAGUUUUACAGAAAGGUGGGGUAAAAAUAAAAAGCAGCUUUCAAAAGCCUCUGCAGUGUGAUGAAAGACAAAACAUCCAGCAUGCAUGAGCCUUAUUUUAGAAACUAAGC